CUUUUUUUUUUUUUUUUUUUUUUUUCUUCUUCUUCUUUCUUCCUUCUACUGAUCUCUCUCUUGAUGGCCGCCGGCAGGGGCAGGUGGUUGGGGGUCGCGCAGACCAGUCGAGUCCACUCCCAAAACUCACCUCUUAACUCAUUACACCCUCUCUUCCUCACCUCCAUUCUCACAUUUCUCCAAUGGCGGCCAGAAAACUUGCUGGAUUUCUGGUACUGGCUUUGGUGAUUACGCUCAUCGAUCUGCUGCUUCUCAGCUUUUCACUCCCGUCGAUGGCUCCUUUCCCAGGGUUAGGGUUUUUUUUGUUAAGAAGAAGAAGAAGAAGAGAGAGAGAGAUCAGUAGAAGGAAGAAAGAAGA